GCCGGGUGUGGUGGCGUGCGCCUGUAGUCCCAGCUACUUGGGAGGCUGAGGCAGGAGAAUUGCUUGGACCCGGGAGGCGGGGGUUGCAGUGAGCCGAGAUCACGCCACUGUACUCCAGCCCGGGUGACAGAGUGAGACUCUGUCCCCA
rnacentral:SRP_RNA from 1 species